GGGACGAACGCUGGCGGCGUGCUUAACACAUGCAAGUCGAACGGUGAACUCUCUUCGGAGGGGGAUCAGUGGCGAACGGGUGAGUAACACGUGAGCAACCUGCCUCUAGCUCUGGCAUAACUCCGGGAAACCGGGCUAAUUCCGGAUAGUAACCUGGUUGGCAUCUUCCGGGUUGGAAAGUUUUUCGGCUAGAGAUGGGCUCGCGGCCUAUCAGCUUGUUGGUGGGGUAGUGGCCUACCAAGGCGACGACGGGUA
rnacentral:rRNA from 1 species